GUCGAUUUAGUUUAAAAUUAAAACCAAUAAUUCCAGAUUAUUUAAUGAAAGUUAAAAUCUUUUAAUCGAUA
rnacentral:tRNA from 1 species